CAUAUAGCUGGGCCCGGAAUUGAUUGUGUCCUGCAGAUUAUCUCAGCUCUUGAUCCUCCCUUGUCAACCUUAAAUGAAUGCUGAGAUUACAGGUGUGUGCCAGAUGUUAGGUCUUUAAUUUCCUUUUGCCUAUUGUGUUUGUAUAUUGGGGAGGAAUGUACAUGAUAGGGUACUUGGAAAUAAGGCAAACUGGAAACAAAUCAGUUUUCUUAACCUUGUGGGUUUCAGGGAUCAAACUCAACUUGUCAGGCUAUUUUGAUUACCUCUAGUUGUAUUUUAUUUUGUUUUGUUGAAAUAGCAGGGUAUUGUGGUGUACACCUUUAAUCCCAGCACUCAGGCCAGCCAGGGCUAAGAGUCCAUGGUGGCAAACCAGGAGACAUGAAAGGGUGAGGCUUGGAUUUUGAACCACAAACAAAACUGAACUCCAGUGGUGCCAGUCUUUAUACUUUGUAAGCCUGCCUACCCUGGUGAUAUCAGAAGGCCAUACUUUAUAAUCCCCCAAACCACCACCACCUGACUGGUCAGCACUGGGAGACAACGGGAGACAUCUCAUCCACAGGUACCCUUCCCAUAGAGAGCUUCAGAGCAUAGUGUGUGUGAUUUUACAGUAAUACAAAAGAAGCCUGUCAUUGCCCAUCAGUCCUUCUCCAGAGUGAUGCUAGUUGGCAUUUCUAUAGAGUAUUCUGGUUGAAGGGGUGGCCCAGUGGUAGAGAUUUAUAAGUUCAUUUUCAUGUUCAGUCUUUCCAGAACC
rnacentral:lncRNA from 1 species